UUUAAUCUUAGCCCUUGAUUAACUUAAUGGAUGGUCAAGAUCACUUCCUAGCCUUCCUAGCCAAAUAAUCUUCCUAUUUUAUCUCCACCCUAAUUAUAUAUUUAGUUAAUAAAAUAUGUCAAACCCGUUUUGAUGAAAAGUUAAAUUGACACCACUGAAACCCAACAGUAUAUUAUGGAUUAACAGGAACAAAAAUGUUUUCAACGACGAUAUAACGGACCCAUACAAACUAGUGGAAGAGAUCAAAGAGGAGUCGUUUGAUUGGAUAAACAAAAGAUCAAGAUUUCAAAGUAUUACCUCGCUCGAGUGGAGUGAGUUCUCGUUCCUGGAAUAGUUCCUGGAAUAAUGAAGUGGCCGUCCACGAGAGCAAUUGGAAGGGGUAGUAUGCCAUUGUUGCAUGUCAAUCCGCUGAACUGGGGCUAUGGAACAACUACGUUCAAAGUAGGCUCGUCUAUGGGUGCUACCAAUAACGAUCUAGACCCGCAGUCCUCAUAAGGUCAUGGACAGUCAAGUGCAUCCAGCUAGAUGCCUACACGAGAAAAGAGGCUUGUGUUUGGGUCUUUUGGUCGAGUCUCCAUGUCAAGUCCUGAGCCUGAGCAGACUAGCUAUGUAUGCAUUAGAAGACAGACUAAUAGGCUUGUAUUUGGGUCUUUUGCUGACAAAAUGUUGAAUCCUAAGUGAGACCGGAGAGUGAACUCAGAUUCAUGAAUCAAAAUGUGCUAUUAAUGAAAUUCUCGGUCCCUUCUUGAA